GACGAACGCUGGCGGCAUGCCUAACACAUGCAAGUCGAACGAGAAGUUCGGGUCUAGUGGCGCACGGGGGCGUAAGGCGUGGGGAGCGGCACUUAGGUUCGGCAUAACUCCCCGAAAGGGGUGAUAAUACGGGAUAGUAUCUUCGGACGAAAGAUUUAUCGCCUUUGGAUGGGCAAGCGUUGGAUUAGGUAGUUGGUAGGGUAAAAGCCUCCCAAGGCGACGAUCCAUAGCUGGUCUGAGAGGCUGCUCAGCCACACCUGGACGGGGACACAGCCCAGACUCCUACGCAAUGCAGCAGUGGGUAACAUUGGACAAUGGGCGAAAGCCUGAUCCAGCAAUGCCGCGUAAGUGAUGAAGGCCUUAGGGUUGUAAAGCUCUUUUACCCGGGAUGAUAAUGACAGUACCGGGAGAACAAGCUCCGGCUAACUCCGUG
rnacentral:rRNA from 1 species